ensembl:lncRNA
AGUCUAGGUAUCAGGAAAUGCGGCCUCAUCAUAUGCUUGACUGGGUAUAAUAGGCUGCUGGGCUCCUUUGGGUUGUCAACAGAAUUUACCUCCUCAAAGCUGUAGAACUGAGAUCCCAUUGUUCUACUGUCUUUCAGCAUUUAGAGGUUUCCCACCACGCCCUGCCACACGACCCUAUCUGUCGAUGUGAACACAUAUGUUUCUUUGCCUCUUCAAGACUGGAAGGAAGCUCUUUCUCUUCAGUGUGCUAAGACAGAGUCCUACGUUACGAAACAUACUCAUGGGAAUUACAUGCCGUCAUUUUUGCCAUAUUCUUUGGAUUAGAAACAAAUCACAAGUCCCACUCAUACUCUGAGAGGAUUAUACAGGAAUAUGGGUCACUGGGAUGUAUCUUCCACAGAAGAUUUACCGAAUGUUGGAGACCUGUCCUUGGCAGACCAGCGCCAAAAGGCUCAGGCUGGAGGAAAACCCAUCGCUUUAGGUGGGAGGUUGAAAAACACCAGGAAAGAACUGAAAGCAGCCGAUUUCCACACAAGACGAGGGUCACCAGCCCCUCUGAGCUGCCCCUGCUCACCU